AGCGCUGGAGCCAGAUGGCUAGGCGGCCGGUUGCAACCCGGCAGAAGUGGGUUCAAUUCCCGCCGGCGCUU
rnacentral:tRNA from 1 species